ACGCCUUCGGGUUGUAAACCUCUUUCAGUAGGGAAGAAGCGAAAGUGACGGUACCUGCAGAAGAAGCGCCGGCUAACUACGUGCCAGCAGCCGCGGUAAUACGUAGGGCGCAAGCGUUAUCCGGAUUUAUUGGGCGUAAAGAGCUCGUAGGCGGUUUGUCGCGUCUGCCGUGAAAGUCCGAGGCUCAACCUCGGAUCUGCGGUGGGUACGGGCAGACUAGAGUGAUGUAGGGGAGACUGGAAUUCCUGGUGUAGCGGUGAAAUGCGCAGAUAUCAGGAGGAACACCGAUGGCGAAGGCAGGUCUCUGGGCAUUUACUGACGCUGAGGAGCGAAAGCAUGGGGAGCGAACAGGAUUAGAUACCCUGGUAGUCCAUGCCGUAAACGUUGGGCACUAGGUGUGGGGGACAUUCCACGUUUUCCGCGCCGUAGCUAACGCAUUAAGUGCCCCGCCUGGGGAGUACGGCCGCAAGGCUAAAACUCAAAGGAAUUGACGGGGGCCCGCACAAGCGGCGGAGCAUGCGGAUUAAUUCGAUGCAACGCGAAGAACCUUACCAAGGCUUGACAUGUGCCAGACCGCUUCAGAGAUGGAGUUUCCCUUCGGGGCUGGUUCACAGGUGGUGCAUGGUUGUCGUCAGCUCGUGUCGUGAGAUGUUGGGUUAAGUCCCGCAACGAGCGCAACCCUCGUUCCAUGUUGCCAGCACGUAGUGGUGGGGACUCAUGGGAGACUGCCGGGGUCAACUCGGAGGAAGGUGGGGAUGACGUCAAAUCAUCAUGCCCCUUAUGUCUUGGGCUUCACGCAUGCUACAAUGGCCGGUACAAUGGGUUGCGAUACUGUGAGGUGGAGCUAAUCCCUAAAAGCCGGUCUCAGUUCGGAUUGGGGUCUGCAACUCGACCCCAUGAAGUCGGAGUCGCUAGUAAUCGCAGAUCAGCAACGCUGCGGUGAAUACGUUCCCGGGCCUUGUACACACCGCCCGUCAAGUCACGAAAGUUGGUAACACCCGAAGCCGAUGGCCUAACCACCUUGUGUGGG
rnacentral:rRNA from 1 species